AUUGAGCGUUGACGGAAGCUCGUCGAAUGCACGGAACGCUGGACAUCUUUCGGUGCUUGUGAGGGACCGCCCUGCUGUGUCGCGUCUUUCGCGAAGGGAUCAUUUCGAACUUGCGCACGCAUGAACGCUCCCAGAAGCAACGGAGUAGGCACGGGCGCAGGGUUCAAUGGAAUUUCGCCGCUUGGGCCGGAAAGCGCCCCAGGUUUUGGUAACGAUAACGUUUGUUCCGUCUCCGGUGUUUCAUUCGCGAUACCGAGUGGAAACCGAUCCGCAGCUGUUGCAACAUCCCGGCAGUGCUGGUCGGGCGAGGGCUUGCGAGCAGGCUGCAAGCUGUUUUCAUGGAACGCGUAUGGAACGCUUUCGACGGCUCCCAGCGCGCCUGAUGCUGGCGUGAGGCGAACGAGAUCCUGCGCAGGGCUCGCUGCAGCGGCUGGAACGCGCUCCACAUGUUCAUCACCGUACUGGAUGAUUCCUCCGUCGUGCCCGGUGCGAGGAUCGCGAAUGCCUAUGUCUCCGAAAAUGGCUGGGGAUCGAGCUCGGAUCGUGACUGAAUGCUGCAACGGCUCUGGUGACGAAUGAAUGUCAGCGAUUGAAGCGUUCCGUGGACGUAGCGGAUGUGCGGAUCCCGGUGCCGCAUCGGUCUCUUCGGAGUCGCGGGGUAUCCGCGGUAUCGUCACUGGUGUCGAGACUUGGCACUGACCUACCGGCGACGAUGUGAGGGCUCUUUCCAUGGCAGGCGCAUUUGGAUCGUUGUCGGCGACCGGCAUGCUCCUUGGUACGCGUGCCGGAGAGCAGCUCACGCGAGUCGUCUCGGUACCGCGGGAGCCCGGCUGCAUGCUUGUCUGUACGAGUGCACCUCGAGCCUGGAAUUGGCAUUGUCGGAGGCUUGCAUUUUGACGAGCAUCCUCGAUAGAGCACCACGGAGACACACACAUCAGUGACUGAUCUCGGUUCUGGUCCGGAAUAUCCAAGCCAGCCGACCUGUCUCCAACCGGGGAUACAUCCGUAUUCGUUCGUAUCGUUGAAACAGCAGUUGUAUCCAGCAGAUCCGAUCGGUUCGCGGACGACUCCACAACGUUCAGCGACAGUGAAACGCGCUCUCUUACUUGAUGGGACGCGCUGUCGCCAUCGACUCCUGCAUCCGUGUCGAACGCGAAGAGGCGCUUGCGCCCUGCCGCCACCGAUUGGAUCAAGCGCCGCAUCCGCUUCUGCAUUCGCGAUGUCCACCCCGCACUUUUGCUUGGAGAAUCGAGAACUUGAGCACAAGCGGUACGCGAGGAGGGGCAAGGCGUUUGCAGCGCCAACUGCGCAGUCGACUGCAAUACCGCAGGCGUUGGCGUCUCAUCGACAUUCUGCUGAGCGCGCGCUUCCCUGUCACUCAUUGUACGGAUUGCAGUCGGUACUCUAGCAACACAAGUGCACAACACGAACGAAGAAUACGACCUAGAAUUGACACUCCGAAUUCCCGCCAUGAACAGGACACGUAUGUGCGUGCAACGAUCAAUGCGUGUCAUGCAGCGCUCGCAUGCAUGCACCGACGUAUGCAUGCGAUCGCCUUGCGAAUAGCAAGCGUCGCUUCUGCAGCAACGACACCUGCCAUCUUCAUCGGCGAAUACAAGUUUCUCCAUUGGCGGUCCUGAUCGCAGGAGCAGUGCACCGACAGCACUGUAAUCCGAGAUUGUCCACCAACGGCCAUACGCUAGUAAACUGCAG